CAGCAUCUACCAGCAUUGGCUUCACAUGAUCCUCCAGCACGGACAUGAUGAUUUGCAUGCCCUGUGCGCAACAACACAUCGAGAAAACGAGACACGGAAUCGUUAGCAUCUAAGCACCACAUGCUUAUUUCGGACACAAACGGUGUUACUACAUGCUUACCUCCGUAACCUCUACACUGCCUCCCCAUGGUACUACCUCUAUCCUCGGCACCAUCAGAGGGUGCCACCUCAUUGCUAGUCCAAGCAUGCUCCCUUCAGGUUUGGCCUGCGAACAAAAAUAAAAUGAAAUCAUAUAUCAUUGUAUCACCACUCCCAUAUUUAACUUGAAAAAAAAUCAAAAAACAAACGCAAACUUAUUUUUUAUAUGCCGUUAUUUAUGCUUCAAACCUUAUAUCUCCGUGUUUCCGGCGGUCUUUCUCUGUCCUCCUCAAACAAAGUGAUCAGCUCGUCCAUCUUCUCCGACGAAUAAGAAGCAAUCUUCGGCACCAGGUCUGUGUUAAUGUUGGCCCCCUUGAAAUCAACCCACUCCAGGCAGAAUAACUGUUCAUUGAAGACAACCAAGAGGUAGGUCAGCAAACAGAACAACCAGCAAUCAUAUUUAUGUGCAGGUAUUUGAGCUUAGACUGCUUUUUCCCACAUUUUCAUACCUGUACGAGAAGAUUGUAGCCUCCUAUUGUGUAUGUCUUUGCACCGGUCAGGAGAUCUGCUUUAAAUUUCUCUGCAGCUCUCCUGGUGACAGUUAGAAUGUACCCUGCCCAGUCGUAGU
rnacentral:lncRNA from 1 species